rnacentral:misc_RNA from 1 species
GAAUGAAGAACGCAGCAAAAUGCGAUACUUGGUGUGAAUUGCAGAAUCCCGUGAACCAUCGAGUUUUUGAACGCAAGUUGCGCCCGAAGCCUUUUGGCCGAGGGCACGUCUGCCUGGGCGUCACGCAUCGCGUCGCCCCCCACAAUUCUCCGUAAAGGGAACAUGUGUUUUGGGGGCGGAUAUUGGUCUCCCGUGCUCAUGGCGUGGUUGGCCGAAAUAGGAGUCCUUUCGAUGGACGCACGAACUAGUGGUGGUCGUAAAAACCCUCGUCUUUUGUUUCGUGCUGUUGCUCGCAAGGUAAACUCUUUAAAAACCCCAAUGUGUCGUCUCUUGACGACGCUUCGACCGCGACCCCAGGUCAGGCGGGACUACCCGCUGAGUUUAAGCAUAUCAAUAGCGGAGGA